CGUCUCUAUUGGACAGCCCCCACGGUGAACGUGAGGGCGGUGACCGCGAGAGCAGCGGCGGUCGCACUGGACA
rnacentral:SRP_RNA from 1 species